AUGGCCAGCAAGACGAAUACUACUACUGUGAGAUUUUCACUAACAAUCUCUGUCUUCCUUUUUCUCUUCAUCGGAGCAAUCUUCUACAUACGCUUUCUCCAUUCUUCCUUCGACAUUAAUGUAACCAUUCUCAUUGAUACAACCGUAGCCAACUCAAAACAGCCCCAAAAAAAGCUGGAAAUCCAACUGAAUUGUACACUUGGGAACCUCACACGUACUUGUCCUGCUUCUUACUACCCGUCAAAGUUCACUUAUCAAAAUCGAUCCUCUUUAUCAACUCUUCUGCCCACAUGUCUAGAUUACUUUCGCUGGAUCUAUGAUGAUCUACGGCCUUGGAGAGAAACAGGAAUCACCGACGAAAUGCUGAUGCGAGCCACAAGUAAUGCAGAAUUUUGGUUGGUGAUAGUGAAUGGGACAGCAUAUGUUGAAACCUAUAGGAAGUCAUUUCAAAGUCGAAACACAUUUACAUUAUGGGGCAUUUUACAAAUGUUAAGGAGGUACCUCGGUAAAGUCCCCGAUUUGGACAUGAUAUUCACCUGUGGUGACCCAACAGUUGUUCAGACCGAAUUCUAUCAACGUCCUAAGGCCCCUGCUCCUUCACCUGUGUUUCAUUACUGCUCAAAUGACGCGAGUUUGGAUAUUGCUUUUUCAGAUUGGUCAUUCUGGGAUGGUACACUAAUUAAUAUAAGGCUGUCAAAGAAGUUAAAAGAAAGCGAAUGAGAAGAAAAAAUGGACGGAGAGGGAACCGUAUGCCUACUGGAAGGCAUUCUAUAUGUUGCUUUAAGCAAUAAGGAUCUGCGCAAGUGCAAUGUUUCAAAAAAACAAGAUACAGGUGCACGUAUAUAUGGUCAGCUAUAUUGUUAUGCAACAUAUGACUGGAGUCAAGAACUGAAGCAUCGCUUUAAACAUUCACAUUUAGCUAGUCAAUGCAGGUAUGAAAAUGUCAGAUACAAGAUUUAUGCAGAAGGCCAGACAUGGUGCGUGAGUGAAAUAUACAUUCUGGCCUGUGAUUCUGUUACGUUACUUAUAAAACCCCAAUACUACAAUUUCUGUAGCAGACGUUUGAUGCCGAUAAAGCAAUACUGUCCCAUAAAAGAUAAUGAUAAAUGCCGAUCUAUCAAGCAUGUUGUUGACUGGGGAAUACUCAUGAACAAGAGGCUCAGGCGAUUGGUAAGACAGCAAACGAUUUCAUUCAAGAACAACUCAAAAUGGAUUAUGUAUACGACUUCAUGUUCCAUCUCCUGAAUGAGUACUCAAAGCUCUUGAAAUACAAGCCCACUAUACUUGUAAAUGCAAUUGAGCUUUGUUCAGAGGCAAUGGCACGCCCAGCUGAAGGAAUCACAAAGAAAUUCAUGUUAGAAUCUAUGGUUGAAGGCCCCUCGGACGCGAUACUUGCAACAUGUCACCCCCUUAGUCCUGUAGAAGUUCACUCUAUUCUUGAUACAAAAGAAAAUUCAAUCAAACAAGUUGACUCAUGGGAACAAAAGUACCGGAAGAACAAAACAAACUACAAUGACGAUUUUAGUUGUUUUAUACAUUAAUUAGUGAGUUAUAUUUUGAAACUAAAACGAGCUAUGAAUUCAUUUUCUUGUUUUUGAACCAAUAAACUAUAAUGUAUAAAUUUUAGUUUCGCCUCUGAAGUUGACUAGUAACUACAAUGUACCAUGUGGUAGAUACGGUUAUUGGUGAUUACAAUUAAGUUUCACAGCUAAAGGCCAAACCCAUCAACAACCCCUAAACUUGACACCAUCUUUCACUUUGGCACCUCAAGUGGAUGCUGUUCACUUUUGGCACCUCAAGUAGCCAUAAACUGUUACUUUGACAUCUUUUGAUGAUUCAGUGGAUGCUGUUCACUUUUGGCACCUCAAGUAGCCAUAAACUGUUACUUUGACAUCUUUUGAUGAUUCAACAAAGAGAGUGUAUCACACUUGCUUUUGAGCACGUUUCAGGAAUAUUUUCGUAAUUUUAUUAUCUUUCUUCCUCACUCUUUCAUCCAUUAGUUUUUUAUCAUUUUUUCCUUUUCUUAGCACAACUAAUUUUUACAAUAUUGCAACAGAAGGCAGUAUUUGAUCUCUAGAGUGUAGAUUUCAAGAAACAAGCAUCUCCAAAACAAUAUUGUCAUCUGGCAGGAGCUUAUAUUAGCCUCAUAUCUAUUUGUUGUUAAUUGAAGUUAAAAUGCUCCUUUGCUAAAUUUUAGAUUUAGAAAAUUGAAGAGGUAUAGUAUUGGUUGAGGUUUGCUAGCCUCUGAUCACCAUUUUGUGAUCAAUUGGAUGCUAUAUUUCUUAUGAUUUGAAAUCCCAAAAGAAAAUCGUCAAUCUUUGACUACUUCAUCCAAAAGCCACAAUCUGCUUCUUCUUUUUGUGUUUUUCAAAGCUCAAUUGUCAUGAUUUGAUAUUUAUAUGCUCAUUAGAAGUUUAAUCGGAAUCAGGGGCGGAGAGGCAGCACCGGAAGAUGGAGGAACUGUUUGGAUCGUUGUUUUCGUCGAAGGAACACCGAUGAAGGUGGUUUUUGUUGGGUUUGCUGACGAAGCUCCGGUGUUAUCUUGGUGGAGGUGCGGUUGUUGGCUUGGUUUCACCGGCCAUGGAUGGUCGAAAAUCGUGGUGGAUGUCUUGCCGGCUGUUCGAGGCUGGUGGAGCGGCGACUAGUUCAGCGUGGCUGCCAGCGCUAGUUCACCGAAGGAGGAAGCAGCAACAACCAUCGUGGCUCGCCGACGGAUGAGUGUGCCGAUUUGGGUUUUCACCGGUGUUGAUGGUGGUGCGGCGACUUUGGGUUUGACUGGUGGCGGCAAAUGAUUUGGGGGUGGGGUGAGUUAAGGAAGAUGAUAUGGGGUGGGGUGGUUAGGAAGAUGAUAUAAGGUGGGGUGAGGUUAUUAAUAUUUUUAUUUAAAUUAAUUAUAUAAAAAUUAUUUUAAUAAAAAUAAUAAAUGUUCUUUUAUAAUUGGUCCCUUUCCACGUUAUCAGUGAGUGUGAUACAUUCUUGAAGUGCCAAAAGUGAACAAUAUUUACUUGAGAUGGCAAAGUAAAAGAUGGUACAAAAUUUAAGGGGCUGUCGAUGGAUUUGGCCUAAAAUUAGUUGUGAACUAGGUUAUAAUGUUUUGUUUAAUUUGAUUCGUCUAUUACUUCAUUCUCGAAUUUGUGUAUUAAAUUUGUUGCUUUUGCUAUUUUACAAGUUGAAACAUGUUAAUUAU